AUGUGUCGGGCAAGUCCCGUCACUCUCUCGGCGUCAACCGCCUCAAUGACAAGAAGGGUGCUGGCGGCGGCGGCGGAUGAUACAUUAGAUCGUCUACAUAACAGAAAUACACGAGUUAUCAAUCAGAAAGAACUUGAAUAUUUCAGGCAAGAACUCCAGGCACGGCUUACUAACUACAGUGUGUUACUGAAAUCUAAACAGCUGCCACUAUCGCUUCUGCAGGAUCAUCAGAAGCAAGCUCGUGCACAUCUUCUUGACACUGAGCCUUUUGAGCAUGCCUUUGGACCAAAGGGCAAGCGUAAAUGA
rnacentral:rRNA from 1 species